rnacentral:rRNA from 1 species
AUUGAACGCUGGCGGCAUGCUUUACACAUGCAAGUCGAACGGUAACAGGCCUUCGGGUGCUGACGAGUGGCGAACGGGUGAGUAAUGCAUCGGAACGUGCCCAGAGGUGGGGGAUAACGCAGCGCAAGCUGUGCUAAUACCGCAUGUGAUCUGAGGAUGAAAGCGGGGGACCAGGCAGCAAUGUUUGGCCUCGCGCCUUUGGAGCGGCCGAUGUCAGAUUAGGUAGUUGGUUGGGUAAAGGCCUACCAAGCCGACGAUCGGUAGCUGGUCUGAGAGGACGACCAGCCACACUGGAACUGAGACACGGCCCAGACUCCUACGGGAGGCAGCAGUAGGGAAUUUUGGACAAUGGGCGCAAGCCUGAUCCAGCAAUGCCGCGUGAGGGAAGAAGGCCUUCGGGUUGUAAACCUCUUUUGUACGGAACGAAAAGGCUCUGGCUAAUACCUGGGGCUGAUGACGGUACCGUAAGAAUAAGCACCGGCUAACUACGUG